rnacentral:rRNA from 1 species
UACGAGGGGGCAAGCGUUGUUCGGAAUUAUUGGGCGUAAAGGGUGCGUAGGCGGUUUUGUAAGUCUUGUGUGAAAUCUUCAGGCUCAACUUGAAGACUGCACGAGAAACUGCAGGGCUUGAGUGUGGGAGAGGUGAGUGGAAUUCCUGGUGUAGCGGUGAAAUGCGUAGAUAUCAGGAGGAACACCUGUGGCGAAAGCGGCUCACUGGACCACAACUGACGCUGAUGCACGAAAGCUAGGGGAGCAAACAGG